rnacentral:rRNA from 1 species
GACAGAGGGGGCAAGCGUUGCUCGGAAUCACUGGGCGUAAAGGGCGCGUAGGCGGGAUGGCAAGUCGGUCGUGAAAUCCCUGGGCUCAACUCAGGGGGGUCGGCCGAUACUGCCGUUCUUGAGGGAUGCAGAGGAGACUGGAAUUCCCGGUGUAGCGGUGAAAUGCGCAGAUAUCAGGAAGAACACCAAUGGCGAAGGCAGCGCUCUGGGACGGUACUGACGCUGAGACGCGAAAGCGUGGGGAGCGAACAGG